rnacentral:misc_RNA from 1 species
GGAAGUUCGUAACAAGGUUUCCGUAGGUUAACCUGCGGAAGGAUCAUUAUUGUAUAACCGAGGUGCGAGGGCUGUCGCUGACCCGAAAGGUCGUGCACGCCCGAGUGCCCUCACACACAUCCAUCUCACCCCUAUGUGCACCACCGCGUGGGUCCCCCUUUGGCUUGUUCGGAGGGGGGCUUACGUUUUCACACAAACUUUGUAUGCAGUGUAGAAUGUAUUUUUUGUUUUUGCGAUCACGCAAUCAAUACAACUUUCAACAACGGAUCUCUUGGCUCUC